AUACGUGUUUGGAUUUAUUUUAUUAAAUUAAAUUGUUUUUUUACUUUUUACUUAUAGAUUAGCUAUAUAUAACAAAGACUUUUACUCUCUUACUUUAAAGUAAAAUAUUCAGUUUGUGUGUAAAUUUUUGAAUCAAACUUUAAAAUGGUGUUUAAAUGCUGUGUACCAAACAGGACUGAGAAGAGUGAGAACGCUGCCUUAAUGUCAGGAUUGAAUUGUUUAUAAACUCUGCAAUGUUACAAAAAGAUACUUGAAAUAUUUUAAUUUUAUUAUGAGCUUUAAUUUUGGUACUUUCCUGUAAAUUGUGCCGUUAAUUUUUUAAAUAAAUAUUUUAAUUUUUGAA